rnacentral:rRNA from 1 species
GACGAACGCUGGCGGCGUGCUUAACACAUGCAAGUCGAGCGGAAAGGCCUUUCGGGGUACUCGAGCGGCGAACGGGUGAGUAACACGUGAGUAACCUGCCCCAGACUUUGGGAUAACCCUCGGAAACGGGGGCUAAUACCGGAUACGACACUUCAUCGCAUGGUGUGAGUGUGGAAAGUUUUUCGGUUUGGGAUGGGCUCGCGGCCUAUCAGCUUGUUGGUGGGGUGAUGGCCUACCAAGGCGACGACGGGAGCCGGCCUGAGAGGGCGACCGGCCACACUGGGACUGAGACACGGCCCAGACUCCUACGGGAGGCAGCAGUGGGGAAUAUUGCACAAUGGGCGGAAGCCUGAUGCAGCGACGCCGCGUGAGGGAUGACGGCC